rnacentral:lncRNA from 1 species
ACUUGGGGCCCGUUUCCACCUAGGACUACAGGCUCAAGAUGGCCUGGUAGAUGCAGCCGGCACGCACCUCUCCUCUGACGGGAACCGAAGGAGCCGGUAGGUUUUCACACUUGCAGCAGAUCCGCUAAGAGAACGCGGGAUUCAGCCGAGAAGCCACGGGGAGCCCGAGGAGCGGAGCAGAGGCACCCAGGCAGCCUGCGCGGAGAAAUUGGAUCGGCGGGGACGGCCUGCAGCUCCCGCGCGCGGGGAAAGGGAAGAAGUCCUCCCCUACAAAGCAAAUUCACAAACUUGGAAGAAGCAAUUUACACAGGAUGUGCAGAUCUCAAUGGAAGGACACGGGAAACGUGAAAAAGCAAGGAAGUGGGACGCCUCCAAAGGAACCCAGUAAUUCUCCAGCAACAGAUCCCCAUCCAAAAGAAAUUCAAGAAAUGUCAUAUAGAGAAUUGUGGAAACUGAUUUUAACCAAGAUUAGAGGGAUUCAAGAGACUUCUGAAAAAGAAAGUAAGGAAAUGUCAACAGCAAUUCUGGAUAUGGUUGAGGUAUUUACCAACCAGAUACAGAGUUUUCCAGAGCACAUGGCAAAUGUGGAACUGAAGAAAUCACUGGAUGAAAUACAAAGUAUACUCGAAAGCUUCAAUGAUAGACUAGAUCAAGCAGAAAAAAAACUCUCAAAACUUAAAAUCUGAAGGCUUUUACUCAAUUCAAAUAUUUAAUGGGUUGUACUCUGGCCAUUCAGGUGAACAAAAUCUGCUGGGUUAAUUUUUUUUUUUUUUUUUUUUUUGAGAUGGAGUCUCGCUCUGUCGCCCAGGCUGGAGUGCAGUGGCGGGACCUCGGCUCACUGCAAGCUCCGCCUCCCAGGUUCACGCCAUUCUCCUGCCUCAGCCUCCUGAGUAGCUGGGACUACAGGUGCCCGCCACCACACCCGGCUUAUUUUUUGUAUUUUUAGUAGAGGUGGGGUUUCACUGUUAGCCAGGAUGGUCUCGAUCUCUUAACCUCGUAAUCCACCCGCCUCGGCCUCCCAAAGUGCUGGGAUUACAGGCGUGAGCCACUGCGCCUGGCCUUGGGUUGUUAUACUGGGGUCUUGAAUAAUCAUUAAAGGUGAAAUGAAAAUAAUUUCCUUUUGAGGUGGUCAAUUUUGUGAGAUGGAUUCUUGUUAGGCAGCUGUCAUGGAAAGAUGAUUUAGUUCAGUUGACAUUAAUAAUACGCAUGGUAAUCCUAACAGGUGAAUGUGGUUCAAACUAAAUUGCCAGGGAAUUGUCAUGGUCUAGAAAAGCCACUCUCUCCAGUAGACUGCUCACACAGCUACAUGUCAGCCCUCCUCACUGUGAAAGUGACAGACACCCUAGCAUUUUUAUUCAUCUCCCUUAGGUGCCUCAACUUUUUCUCCCACUCUCAGCUGAAAAGAGCUACAUCUACCAUUUCAUCUACUUAGUGUAUUUUCUUAUUGGCUAUGUUAAAAAAUUACAAACAUAACAAUUAUGAAUGAAAAAUAACUCCAUGGCUGGGUGCAGUGGCUCACACCUGUAAUCCCAGCACUUUGGGAGGCUGAGGCGGGUAGACCACAAGGUCAGGAGUUCAAGACCAGCCUGGCCAAGAUGGUGAAACCGUCUCUACUAAAAAUACAAAAAUUAGCCGGGUGCAGUGGCAGGCACCUGUAAUCCCAGCUGCUUGGGAGGCUGAGGGAGGAGAAUCAGUUGAACCCGGAGGGUGGAGAUUGCAGUGAGACUCUCAAAAAAACAAAACAACACAAAAAAAUCUCCUAAGAUGAUUAAAACAAACUUGCUUCUACAAUAAACCGUAAACUCACCGUAUCUAGUGAUUCUGUACAUUAAAUCUUUUGAACAUGUUUACCAAUUUGGUGUUAUGAAAAAUUUUUUAGAGGUUGUGUAUGGGCUGGGCACAAUGACUCAUGCCUGUAAUCCCACCACUUUGGGAGGCUGAGACGGGCGGAUCACUCAAGGACAGGAGUUCGAGAUCAGCUGGGGCAACAUGGCAAAACCCCAUCUCUACAAAAAGUACAAAAAUUAGCCAGGCGUGCACUAAUUAGUGGGCUGGACCAUUACUGGUGUGUGUAUCUCUAGUCUCAACUACUCAGAGGCUGAGCUGGCGAGAUCAGUGGAGCCCAGGAGAUUGAGGCUGCUGUGAGCUGUGGUCAUGCCACUGCACUCCAGCCGGGAUGACAGAGUGACACCGUGUCUCAAAAAAACAAAAAACAAAAAAUUGUGUCUGUACUCCACUUUCCAACUGGAUAUAGUGUCCAUAUCAAGGUCAUCUAAAUAAAUAUAAUGUUUUGGAGAGAGUUGUUUUUUUUUUUUUUUUUUUUGUGACGGAGUCUCGCUAUGUUGCCGAGGCUGGAGAGCAGUGGCGCGAUCUUGGCUCACUGCAACCUCUGCCUCCUGGGUUCAAGUGAUUCUCCUCCCUCAGCUUCCUGAGUAGCUGGGAUUACAGGUACCCGCCACCAGGCCCAGCUAAUUUUUUGUGUUUUUAGUAGAGUCGGGGUUUCACCAUGUUGGACAGGCUGGUCUCGAACUCCUGACCUUGUGAUUUACCUGCCUUGGCCUCCCAAAGUGCUGGGAUUACAGGUGUGAGCCACUCCACUCGGCACUUUUUUCUUUUUUUUGAGAUGGAGUUUUGCUCUUGUUGCCCAGGCUGGAGUGCAAUGGCACAAUCUCGGCUUACUGCAACCUCCGCCUCCCAGGUUCAAGCGAUUCUCCUGCCUCAGCUUCCCAGGUAGCUGGGAUUACAGGCACGUGCUACCACGCCCAGCUAAUUUUUGUAUUUUUAGUAGAGACGGGGUUUCACCAUGUUGGACAGGCUGGUCUUGAACUCCUGACCUCAGGAUUUCCACCCGUCUCAGACUCCCAAAGUGUUGGGAUUACAGGCGUAAGCCACUGCACCCGGCCUCCAGGCUCAAGCAAUUCUUAUGCCUCAGCCACAUGAGUAGCUGGUAUUACAGGUGUGUGCCAACAUGCCUGGCGAAUUUUUGUAUUUUUAGUAGAGAUGGGGUUUCGCCAUGUUGGCCAGGCUGUUCUUGAACUCCUGGCUUCCAUCAGUUCUCCCAUCUUAGCCUCCCAAAGUGUUGGGAUUACAGGUGUGACCCACUGCAACUGGCCAGGCACUUCAAUUUUUUUUUUUUUGCUCUGUCACCAGGCUGGAGUGCAGUGGUGCGAUCUCGGCUCACUGCAGUCUCCGCCUCGCGGGUUCAGGCAAUUCUGCCUCACCCUUCUGAGUAGCUGGGACUACAGGCAUGCCCCACCAUGCCCAGCUAAUUUUUGUAUUUUUAGUAGAGACGGGGUUUCACCAUGUUGGCCAGGAUGGUCUCGAUCUCUGGACCUUGUGAUCCGCCUGCCUCGGCCUCCCAAAGUGCUGGGAUUACAGGCGUGAGCCACCACGCCCAGCCAGGCACUUCAAAUUUUUUGUCUCUGUGUGUCUGCGAAUAACUGAGAAAGUGCCACAGUAUUGAUUUGGGGGUUACAAACAUAUUUUAGUGAGUAGGC